rnacentral:rRNA from 1 species
GACGAACGCUGGCGGCGUGCUUAACACAUGCAAGUCGAACGGGCCUGUCUUCUUUUUUGGGGGUGGGUUGAGUGGCGAACGGGUGAGUAUCACGUGAGUAACCUGCCCUUCGGUCCUGGAUAACCGCUUGAAAGGGCGGCUAAUACGGGGUGGUCCGGUUGGUCCGCAUGGGCUGGUCGGGAUAGAUUCACUGUUUUUGGUGUUUCGGCGGGGGAUGGGCUCGCGGCCUAUCAGCUUGUUGGUGGGGUGAUGGCCUACCAAGGCGGUGACGGGUAGCCGGGCUGAGGGAGUGGGGGGCCAAACUGGGACUGAGAUACGGCCCAGACUCCUGCGGGAGGAAGCAGUGGGGGGUAUUGCACAAUGGGCGGAAGCCUGAUGCAGCGACGUCGCGUGAGGGAUGGAGGCCUUCGGGUUGUGAACCUCUGUUUCCGGUGGUGAAGGCCCUGUCCGUGUGGUGGGGUUGACGGUAGCCGGGGAUGAAGCGCCGGCUAACUACGUG